UACGGGGGGAGCAAGCGUUGUUCGGAUUUACUGGGCGUAAAGGGCUCGUAGGCGGCCAACUAAGUCAGACGUGAAAUCCCUCGGCUUAACCGGGGAACUGCGUCUGAUACUGGAUGGCUUGAAUCCGGGAGAGGGAUGCGGAAUUCCAGGUGUAGCGGUGAAAUGCGUAGAUAUCUGGAGGAACACCGGUGGCGAAGGCGGCUCACUGGCUCGUAUCUGACGCUCAGGCGCGACAGCGUGGGGAUCAAACAGG
rnacentral:rRNA from 1 species